rnacentral:rRNA from 1 species
UACGGGGGGGGCAAGCGUUGUUCGGAAUUACUGGGCGUAAAGGGCUCGUAGGCGGCCAACUAAGUCCGACGUGAAAUCCCCAGGCUUAACCUGGGAACUGCGUCGGAUACUGGAUGGCUUGAAUCCGGGAGAGGGAUGCGGAAUUCCAGGUGUAGCGGUGAAGUGCGUAGAUAUCUGGAGGAACACCGGUGGCGAAGGCGGCAUCCUGGACCGGCAUUGACGCUGAGGAGCGAAAGCCAGGGGAGGCAAAACGGG